CGCGAACUCAAAUCCCCAACGCGUAGCCGCCAGCUCCAGCUUGCCGACGGUGGCGGCGGGCCAGAUCCGGUGCCUAGCUGGGCGAUUGCGCCUGGUGGAGGUCCAGAUCCAUCCACGACCGUCUUGUCGCCGGCGUUCUGGCUGCCCCGGCGGACCUCCUCUGUCCGAAGCUGAGACCUUGUGCGGGCAAGUUUUCCAAGAUCAAAGCUCGUCGACUAGUACUACGUUCGUCCUCCGCUGUUUUGUUGCUGCAUCUCGAACUGAAAAUGGAAGGAAGUAGUGGAACGUCGCCUUUAGAAGAGCCCACCGUUCCAGUAAUCCCAAACUGUGUACCAACACUAUCAGGUGAGAAGACACAGUCUAAAA